CGGUUAAGUUAGAAAGGGCGCACGGUGGAUGCCUUGGCACUAGGAGCCGAUGAAGGACGGGACGAACACCGAUAUGCUUCGGGGAGCUGUAAGCAAGCUUUGAUCCGGAGAUUUCCGAAUGGGGAAACCCACCACUCGUAAUGGAGUGGUAUCCAUAUCUGAAUUCAUAGGAUAUGAGAAGGCAGACCCGGGGAACUGAAACAUCUAAGUACCCGGAGGAAGAGAAAGCAAAUGCGAUUCCCUGAGUAGCGGCGAGCGAAACGGGAUUAGCCCAAACCAAGAGGCUUGCCUCUUGGGGUUGUAGGACACUCUGUACGGAGUUACAAAAGAACGAGGUAGAUGAAGAGGUCUGGAAAGGCCCGCCAUAGGAGGUAACAGCCCUGUAGUCAAAACUUCGUUCUCUCCUGAGUGGAUCCUGAGUACGGCGGAACACGUGAAAUUCCGUCGGAAUCCGGGAACGAGGUAGAUGAAGAGGUCUGGAAAGGCCCGCCAUAGGAGGUAACAGCCCUGUAGUCAAAACUUCGUUCUCUCCUGAGUGGAUCCUGAGUACGGCGGAACACGUGAAAUUCCGUCGGAAUCCGGGAGGACCAUCUCCCAAGGCUAAAUACUCCCUAGUGACCGAUAGUGAACCAGUACCGUGAGGGAAAGGUGAAAAGCACCCCGGAAGGGGAGUGAAAGAGAUCCUGAAACCGUGUGCCUACAAGUAGUCAGAGCCCGUUAACGGGUGAUGGCGUGCCUUUUGUAGAAUGAACCGGCGAGUUACGAUCCCGUGCAAGGUUAAGCAGAAGAUGCGGAGCCGCAGCGAAAGCGAGUCUGAAUAGGGCGCAUGAGUACGUGGUCGUAGACCCGAAACCAGGUGAUCUACCCAUGUCCAGGGUGAAGUUCAGGUAACACUGAAUGGAGGCCCGAACCCACGCACGUUGAAAAGUGCGGGGAUGAGGUGUGGGUAGGGGUGAAAUGCCAAUCGAACCUGGAGAUAGCUGGUUCUCUCCGAAAUAGCUUUAGGGCUAGCCUCAAGGUAAGAGUCUUGGAGGUAGAGCACUGAUUGGACUAGGGGCCCCUACCGGGUUACCGAAUUCAGUCAAACUCCGAAUGCCAAUGACUUAUCCUUGGGAGUCAGACUGCGAGUGAUAAGAUCCGUAGUCGAAAGGGAAACAGCCCAGACCGCCAGCUAAGGUCCCAAAGUAUACGUUAAGUGGAAAAGGAUGUGGAGUUGCUUAGACAACCAGGAUGUUGGCUUAGAAGCAGCCACCAUUUAAAGAGUGCGUAAUAGCUCACUGGUCGAGUGACUCUGCGCCGAAAAUGUACCGGGGCUAAACGUAUCACCGAAGCUGCGGACUGUUCUUCGAACAGUGGUAGGAGAGCGUUCUAAGGGCUGUGAAGCCAGACCGGAAGGACUGGUGGAGCGCUUAGAAGUGAGAAUGCCGGUAUGAGUAGCGAAAGAGGGGUGAGAAUCCCCUCCACCGAAUGCCUAAGGUUUCCUGAGGAAGGCUCGUCCGCUCAGGGUUAGUCGGGACCUAAGCCGAGGCCGAAAGGCGUAGGCGAUGGACAACAGGUUGAUAUUCCUGUACCACCUCCUCACCAUUUGAGCAAUGGGGGGACGCAGGAGGAUAGGGUAAGCGCGGUAUUGGAUAUCCGCGUCCAAGCAGUUAGGCUGGGAAAUAGGCAAAUCCGUUUCCCAUAAGGCUGAGCUGUGAUGGCGAGCGAAAUAUAGUAGCGAAGUUCCUGAUUCCACACUGCCAAGAAAAGCCUCUAGCGAGGUGAGAGGUGCCCGUACCGCAAACCGACACAGGUAGGCGAGGAGAGAAUCCUAAGGUGAUCGAGAGAACUCUCGUUAAGGAACUCGGCAAAAUGACCCCGUAACUUCGGGAGAAGGGGUGCUCUGUUAGGGUGCAAGCCCGAGAGAGCCGCAGUGAAUAGGCCCAGGCGACUGUUUAGCAAAAACACAGGUCUCUGCGAAGCCGUAAGGCGAAGUAUAGGGGCUGACGCCUGCCCGGUGCUGGAAGGUUAAGAGGAGCGCUUAGCGUAAGCGAAGGUGCGAAUUGAAGCCCCAGUAAACGGCGGCCGUAACUAUAACGGUCCUAAGGUAGCGAAAUUCCUUGUCGGGUAAGUUCCGACCCGCACGAAAGGCGCAACGAUCUGGGCACUGUCUCAACGAGAGACUCGGUGAAAUUAUAGUACCUGUGAAGAUGCAGGUUACCCGCGACAGGACGGAAAGACCCCGUGGAGCUUUACUGCAGCCUGAUAUUGAAUGUUGGUACAGCUUGUACAGGAUAGGUAGGAGCCUUGGAAACCGGAGCGCCAGCUUCGGUGGAGGCAUCGGUGGGAUACUACCCUGGCUGUAUUGACCUUCUAACCCGCCGCCCUUAUCGGGCGGGGAGACAGUGUCAGGUGGGCAGUUUGACUGGGGCGGUCGCCUCCUAAAAGGUAACGGAGGCGCCCAAAGGUUCCCUCAGAAUGGUUGGAAAUCAUUCGCAGAGUGUAAAGGCACAAGGGAGCUUGACUGCGAGACCUACAAGUCGAGCAGGGACGAAAGUCGGGCUUAGUGAUCCGGUGGUUCCGCAUGGAAGGGCCAUCGCUCAACGGAUAAAAGCUACCCCGGGGAUAACAGGCUUAUCUCCCCCAAGAGUCCACAUCGACGGGGAGGUUUGGCACCUCGAUGUCGGCUCAUCGCAUCCUGGGGCUGUAGUCGGUCCCAAGGGUUGGGCUGUUCGCCCAUUAAAGCGGUACGCGAGCUGGGUUCAGAACGUCGUGAGACAGUUCGGUCCCUAUCCGUCGCGGGCGCAGGAAAUUUGAGAGGAGCUGUCCUUAGUACGAGAGGACCGGGAUGGACGCACCGCUGGUGUACCAGUUGUUCUGCCAAGGGCAUCGCUGGGUAGCUAUGUGCGGACGGGAUAAGUGCUGAAAGCAUCUAAGCAUGAAGCCCCCCUCAAGAUGAGAUUUCCCAUUCCGGCAUGU
rnacentral:rRNA from 1 species